rnacentral:rRNA from 1 species
AUGGCUCGCGGUGAUCAUCAAAACGAUGAUGAUGAUUUCAUGGAUCUACCACAGUGGAAUCGGGCAACUGGACGGAGAAAAGAGGGCGAUGAGAAGAAGAAACAUACUCGCAACAGGGCCUCCCAGGAACGACUGACUUCAUUGACUGACAGAUUUACCGAUGAUCAGAAGGGAGCUGCUGCUGAGAUGGGUAUGCAGGCUAUGAUGAAUGUCCGGUGCAUGAAUCUAGUCAACCCUAUAUGCGACUGGCUUGGUGAGAUUUACGACCCCGCCUCCAGGGAAUUUGUGAUUCCGGGACGUGGAAGACUGCCGUUGAACAAGGAAUCCGUGUUCUGCACUUUGGGUGUGCCCCGUGGACAAAUCAAAGUCCCGUAUGAGGCCAUGACAACCCAUGGCAAGGUUUUUAAGAUGGAACUACUCAUGUACCUCAUCUCAGCUGUUUUCGCGCCGACCACUUCUCUUCGCCCAAGCAACAAAUGCUUCCCCAUCCUGGCGAAACUGAAAGAUGCGAAGAACAUGAAUUGGUGUAAGCUCAUUGCCAACUUCCUGCAUGAUGCAUUCUCAAGCAAGAUGUACCAGAAGGGUUGUCGACUGCAUUUAAUGCUCAUGUACGUCGACUGUCUUGAUCUAUCCACCGUGGAUUUCACUGGGACAGGAGGCCCGUCGCCUAUGCACAAGUUUGCUGUUUCUGCAUGGACUAUCGAUGCUGUCAAGGCUGUGCUUGCUGCAGACAGCUGA